AACGCUGGCGGCGUGCCUAACACAUGCAAGUCGAACGAGAAAGUGGAGCAAUCCAUGAGUAAAGUGGCGACCGGGUGAGUAACACGUGACUAACCUACCCUUGAAUGGGGAAUAACCUUCCGAAAGGAGGGCUAAUACCGCAUAAAGUCCUAAGGAUGAAACGCCUAAGGACCAAAGGAGCAAUUCGUUUAAGGAGGGGGUCGCGGUUGAUUAGCUAGUUGGUGGGGUAAUGGCCCACCAAGGCGAUGAUCAAUAGCCGGCCUGAGAGGGCGCACGGCCACACUGGAACUGAAACACGGUCCAGACUCCUACGGGAGGCAGCAGUGGGGAAUUUUGCGCAAUGGGGGAAACCCUGACGCAGCAACGCCGCGUGGAGGAUGAAGGUCUUUGGAUUGUAAACUCCUUUCGAUCGGGAAGAUUAUGACGGUACCGGAAGAAGAAGC
rnacentral:rRNA from 1 species